UUUGCUAACAAACAGAAAUCUGAAAUUAAUCAGAAAAAAAGGGAAAAAAUUUCACUAAUAUUUUCACAUAUAGCUUUUACACAGCAAUUUGCAGAAAUCAAUUUGUUUUCCAAAAACAAUAUACCAAUAUAUGAGGAAGGAGUGUUAAUUGAACUGCAUUGCUUCGGAAGUUGUUUUAUCGGAAGCUGCCUGAUGGACUUCUUGAGAUUUGUGAGAGAGUUUACGGUGUGGUUUUGAUCUCUUUACUUUUUAGCUUCUGCACUACUGUUUUUCAUUCUUCUUUCGUUCUUUCUUUCUUUCUUUUUUCUUUUCUUUUUCCCUUUUCCCCUUUUCAUUUCUUGGAAAUUACUCUAUAAACUAGAUUGCCCAAAUUUCUUUGUGGAGUAGAGAAGGACUAUAUUUUCUCUUGUGCGCAUGUAUGGAGUUGGUGAUGCUAGCUGGUGGUGCUAGGCUGUUUUCUGGUUCGG
rnacentral:lncRNA from 1 species